UUGUGCGAGAUCGACGGUAUA
rnacentral:miRNA from 2 species